UACGUAGGGAGCAAGCGUUGUCCGGAAUCAUUGGGCGUAAAGCGCGCGUAGGCGGCCCAAUAAGUCCGCUGUGAAAGUCAACGGCUCAACUGUUGGAUGCCGGUGGAUACUGUCGGGCUAGAGUACGGAAGAGGCAAGUGGAAUUCCUGGUGUAGCGGUGGAAUGCGCAGAUAUCAGGAGGAACACCUAUAGCGAAGGCAGCUUGCUGGGACGUUACUGACGCUAAGGCGCGAAAGCGUGGGGAGCGAACAGG
rnacentral:rRNA from 1 species